AUUGGGUGGGCCAGUCCUAUUUGUUGGUGAAUUCCAGCUGAGGAAGAGCUGGGAGUCAGCAUGAAGAUGGGAACCUGGGGGUUGUAGGAAAAGAAACAGGAACUCUGCUGUAGCUCUCUGGGAUCAGAGUGUGGAAAAAGCCUGAAAAGGGUAGCAGGGUGUUUAAACUUAUAUUUUAGUUUGGGACUUUGUUGGGGAUUCCAAGGGAGUGCCCUGAAAAUCCUGGCCCCGAGAGAAGGGUGAGCCUAGAGAGGUUACUGGGGAAAAGACCUGAGAAGAGAUCAUGGUAGCAAGAAGCUGAGGGAACCCAUAACAAAUAGUCUGAAGGAGCAGACCUUGGCUGCUGGUUAUCCCUGGGCUGGAACCUGGCAUAGUGGGAAGGUGUGAGUUUCCCCUUCCAGUCACUAGGGAAGGUGGUAUGAAGUCUAAGGGGGGCAGGGACAAAGAUGGCUGAGAAAAGCGUGUGAGGACUAUGAGGUCCAGACUAGGGGCAAAAGAUCUGAUAAAAGGUCUUGGACUUUGUUUGUUGCACUUUUUCUGGUAACCUAGAAAGGCUGGACUUAAAUCAUGAGCUGCAUGGGAGUUAUGGGAAGAGAGACCACCAGAGUGAUGGUUGGCAGAGGAUGCCAGAUGGGGAGAGAGCUGCUAUACCAUGCCUACCCACAAGGAGGCACUCUAGUGGCACAAUGAUAGAAGAGACUGGGGAUGCUUCAUCAGCAGACAAAGGAGAAACAGGGACAUAUCUAGCAGCUCUUCCUCUGACAAGGAAAAGACAAAAGGCAAUUCUGCAGAUACUGAGGUGUCCAUAGCUGCCUGUCUUGGGACUUAAUCCUGCAAGAUGAUGAGGAGUCUGUUCCUAUGAUAUCUGUGCAGAUGGCUGGUCCAUAAAUGCUAUUUGGCAAGACAUGGAGUACAAUAAUUUGCA